rnacentral:misc_RNA from 1 species
CAACAGUUGGGGAAGACAUAAACUGACUUACCACACUAACGGCAUAAGCAAUGUCAGGACGAGUGACUGUAAGGUAGUUCAAUUUUCCUACCAAUCUCCUGUAUCUCUCUGGAUCUUCAAACAACUCACUAUCCCCUGCUAACAGUUGUAAAGUUGGAGUCAUUGGUGCACUACAAGGCUUUAGCACCUAAUUUUCCUGUCUCUGUCAAUAGAUCGAGGACAUAUUUUCUUUGAGACAAGAAAAUACCCUUCUUACUUCUCAUAACUUCGAUACCCAAGAAAUACUUUAACAAUCCCAAGUCUUUGGUCUGAAACUGAAGUCUUUGGUCUGAAAUUGGGUUUGGAGGAAGGUUUUAAGAGAUGAAAUACCUGCAGAGUCACUCCCAGUGAUGACAAUGUCAUCCACAUAGACUACCAAGAGAAUUAAGCCAGCCUCAGAUUGCCUAUAAAAUACUGAGUGAUCACACUUACUCUUUUGCAUACCAAAUUCCUGUACUGCUUCACUGAAUCUCCCAAACCAGGCCCUAGGACUUUGUUUCAAGCCAUAAAGAGACUUCCGAAGCCUACAAACUUUACCCAACUCCCCCUGAGCAACAAACCCAGGUGGUUGCUCCAUAUACACCUCCUCCUGAAGAUCACCAUGAAGGAAAGCAUUCUUGAUAUCCAAUUGGUGCAGGGGCCAAUCAUAUGUAGCUGCUAAAGAGAUAAACAAGCGAACAGAAGUAAGUUUAGCUACAGGAGAAAAAGUGUCAGAGUAAUCAACCCCAUAUGUCUGAGCAUAUCCUUUUGCUACAAGGCGUGCUUUUAACCUAGCCACAGAACCAUCAGGAUUUACCUUUACUGUAAAUACCCAUUUGCAACCAAUAGCUUUCUUACCAGAAGGCAAUAGUUCCCAUGUACCAUUAGCAUCUAAAGCCUCCAUUUCCUCUUUCAUAGCAUCACACCAGCCAGGAUGAGACAGUGCCUCAUCAAUAGUAUUAGGGAUAGGAACAGAGUCUAAAGAAGUAACAAAACACCGAGAACAAGAAGACAAUUGAUUAUAAGAAACAAAAGAAGAGAUAGGGUAAGUACAUGAACGUUUACCUUUACGAAGAGCAAUGGGUAAGUCUAGAUCAGAAUCAUGAUCAGUAUGAGGUACAGGAUCUCCCAACGAAGUAGCUGGUGGAGGAUCUGAGUCAGGAAUCUCCAAUCUCCUGGAAUAAACAUGAACAACGGGAGGUCGAGUAGGUCUAGAGACAGAAG